GGACCUGACUGCUAUCGGAUUGAUACUAAGCCAUGCGAGUCAUUGUAGCAAUACAAGGCAGACGGCUCAGUAACGCGUAGUCAACCUACCCUAUGGACGGGAAUAACCUCGGGAAACUGAGUAUAAUGCCCGAUAGAACAUUAUGCCUGGAAUGGUUUAUGUUCCAAAUGAUUUAUCGCCGUAGGAUGGGACUGCGGCCUAUCAGUUUGUUGGUGAGGUAAUGGCCCACCAAGACUAUUACAGGUACGGGCUCUGAGAGGAGUGGCCCGGAGAUGGGUACUGAGACACGGACCCAGGCCCUAUGGGGCGCAGCAGGCGAGAAAACUUUGCAAUGUGCGAAAGCACGACAAGGUUAAUCCGAGUGGUUUCUGCUAAAGGAACCUUUUGUCAGUCCUAGAAACACUGAUGAAUAAGGGGUGGGCAAGUUCUGGUGU
rnacentral:rRNA from 1 species